UAUAAAAGGGAUUAGAGAAGCUGUUCCUCGAGUUAAUAAUAUGAAAAAGGCAUUUUGUGGGGAACAGGAAAAGGAUGAGUCCCCAACAGCUUGGAUGGCUCGGUUAAGGAAUAACAUCCAACUUUAUUCUGUCAUUGAUUUAGACAGUGAAGGAGGCAAAACUAUGCUAAAAGUACAUUUUGUGCUUCACUCCUGGCCUGACAUCAGGAGAAAACUGGAAAAAUUGGAAAAAUGGCCAGAGAGGGAACUGGAUGAAUUACUGGAGGAAGCCCAAAAGGUCUUUGUUAGGAGGGAUGAAGAGAGGAUGAAGGCUAAAAGCUGAAUAACGAACAACAGUACUAAUGCUCCAAUCAACCCUCCUACUCAAAGAACUUUCCAAGGGGGUAUCCCACAACAGCAUUGUCCCCAGCAACAGCCACAAACUUCCACUUGCCAUAUACAACCAAACCUACAAUCUACCUCAAACGUUCAGGGACUCAAAAGACUAAUUUGCACAUAUUGUAAUAAAGAAGGCCACGGGCACUGGCACUGUUUUAAAAAGCAGAGAGAUCAAGGAGUCCUCCAAAUGGAGGAACAAAUUCUGAAUAAAUGAAGGAGUCAGGGGCUCUAUUCUCUGGGGCAAAAACAUCUUAAAGAGCCCUUGAUAAAAUUAGAAGUUGGACCCCAGAGACAGCAAGUGGAGUUUUUAGUGGACACAGGUGCCAAAAAAACCUGUGUCACUGAAACACCUCCAGGAUGUUGCAUUUCACGAGAUACAUUAGACAUAUAUGGUGCUAAUGGCGAAAGUUUCACCGUUCCUAUAAUUAAAAAUGUGACUCUUUUCAUACAAGGGCGCACCCAUACAGGGGACGUCCUGUAUCUACCUCAAGCUGGAACCAAUCUCCUAGGAUGUGACUUCCAAAUACCUCUAAGAGUUGGGGUGGUACCGCAAGGCGGAAAAAUGUCCACUAAAUUAUUUGUUUUAUCUUUAACAGAUGAGCAACACAUUGACCCAGUAGUGUGGGCCAAACCCGGCAACCGGGGAAAAAUGGACAUCACACCUCUAACAAUUGAGUUGCUCCCAAAUAGCCAGCCAGUACGUGUACCACAAUAUCCCCUCUCUAAGGACAAAAGAAAGGGCCUGAAACCUGUCAUCAUGGACUUACUACGAGAUGGAAUCCUCAAAACCUGCAAAUCAUCCUACAACACUCCAAUUUUGGCUGUCCAGAAACCAGACUCUGCUUUCACAUAACCAUAUUGUCACAUCAACUGUAUAGAAAGGCUCCAUUUGAAGCCAGCAUUCUCUUUCAAUAACAGUUCAAUCAGGCUCCAAAUUUACAGGCAUGGUACCUUUAAUCUUUAACAAGGCCAACCCCAAAUUAACCACGAGUUUCCAGAAGCCUGAAAUCGCUGAAGAACCAUCUGAAGGUGAAAAGCCUAAAGAAAGGACUAAAGGAGCAAAGAUGACAAGCCCCACUAGCAGAGACAACCCUAAUGCUAACAACUCCUCCUGGGUCUGCCUAAAGGGGAAAGUGAGCAACACCCUGAUAGUAAAUGUCAUCUGUCUCUGGGUCCUCUGGUUUCCCUUCACACAAGCAGCGGACAGCCGCUGUAACAAAUGUUACAAGACUGUGUAUCAGGCAGAAGGAAGCUCAUUUCAAAUUAGACACUUUUUCCGAGCACAUACUUAUGUUAACCCAUCUUGUUACAACAUAACAGAAUUAAGUACCUGCUCAGAAAAAGGUCACAAGUAUUGGAUUGGCAGAAGCAUUGGCACCCAAAAACAUAAACAGAAGGGAGAGUGCCCCUCCCAAGACGAUUGGCUUUGUUUCAAUUUUAGAUAUAUAACCAAGACAGAAGAUUUGUUAAAAAGAAAGACCUAUGACACCGACCUGAUCCAGGAGGUGGUCAUAGAAGGAAAAACAAAAAGAAAACAAUCCUUUGAUGUCAAGGAAAAACUUAUUUAUUGACCUGGCAGAAAGGAUUGGACAACAGCUAAAUUUGACAAAUUGCUGGGUGUGCAGAGGAACUUUAGAAUCAGAAAGUUGGCCUUGGCAGGGAGUCAGUCUUGGACCCCCCGAUUUACUCCAACUGAGUAAUCUUUCCCCCACAACCCGACAUGACAAUGAGACUUGGCUACUAAGUAAUUCUGUUACUGGAGAAGAAGGCAUCCGGAGGAAAGGAAGAAAAUUCUUAAAAGAAGUUGGUGAGACAAUAUGCAAAAGGUACCUGGUAACUGAUGGGCAAAGGCACUGGUGGAUACCCCAAGAACCAGACGUAUUCUGGUCUGCAGAAAAGAUUAGAAACAAAAACUGUGUUUUGAAUUCCGUUAAAAAAACUCUGGCAGUGCUGGGAUCAGGGAAAUCCAUACUCUGUCCUGCCACAAAUUUCCAAGUACUGGAUCACAGCAGCAAGUAUACAGCCCCACUUCUGGGAAGCACCACAGGACCUCUAUUGGAUCUGUGGUAACCGGGCUUAUUCCAAUUUACCACCUCGCUGGAAAGGGAGCUGCACGCUCGGAGCCAUUCAACCAAACUUCUUCCUGCUUGCUGAGAAUGCUGGAGCCCACCUUGGAAUCCCCCUUUACAACGAACUUUCCCGUACUAAGAGACAUGUAAUAGGAAGGACCCAGAGAUGGGGAGAAGAAGAGUGGCCAGCCGAGAGGAUCCUAGAGACUUAUGGACCUGCAACAUGGGCACAAGAUGGGAGCUGGGGGUACCGAACUCCCAUCUACAUGCUAAACCGGAUCAUCAGACUGCAAGCACUAAUUGAGGACUUAUUUUUCUCCCUUGUUUAAUCCCUUGUUUCAUCCGUUUAAUCACCA